AUUGAACGCUGGCGGUAUGCUUAACACAUGCAAGUCGAACGGUAACAGGCCUUCGGGCGCUGACGAGUGGCGGACGGGUGAGUAACGCGUAGGAAUCUGCCUUAUAGUGGGGGACAACGUGGGGAAACUCACGCUAAUACCGCAUACGCCCUACGGGGGAAAGCGGGGGAUCGUAAGACCUCGCGCUAUGAGAUGAGCCUGCGUUAGAUUAGCUAGUUGGUAGGGUAAAGGCCUACCAAGGCGACGAUCUAUAGCUGGUCUGAGAGGACGAUCAGCCACACUGGGACUGAGACACGGCCCAGACUCCUACGGGAGGCAGCAGUGGGGGAAUAUUGGACAAUGGGCGCAAGCCUGAUCCAGCAAUACCGCGUGUGUGAAGAAGGCCUUAGGGUUGUAAAGCACUUUCAAUGGGGAGGAAAACCUGCCGGUCAAUACCCGGUAGCUUGACAUUACCUAUAGAAGAAGCACCGGCUAACUCCGUGCCAGCAGCCGCGGUA
rnacentral:rRNA from 1 species